CGGACUGGAGUCUGCAACCCGACUCCACGAAGCUGGAUUCGCUAGUAAUCGCGCAUCAGCCACGGCGCGGUGAAUACGUUCCCGGGCCUUGUACACACCGCCCGUCAAGCCAUGAAAGCCGGGGGUACCUGAAGUGCGUAACCGCAAGGAGCGCCCUAGGGUAAAACUGGUGAUUGGGGCUAAGUCGUAACAAGGUAGC
rnacentral:rRNA from 1 species